GCACUAGCUCAGUGAUAGAGCACAUGAUUCGGGAAGGGAAAAUUCUGACUAACGCGGGUUCAAUCCCAGCGAGGAGCA